ensembl:rRNA 5S_rRNA 5S ribosomal RNA
AUCUAUGCCAUACCACUCGGAACGCCCCCGAUCUCGUCUGAUCUGGGAAGCUAAGCAGGGUCAGGCCUGGUUAGUACGUGGACGGGAGACCGCUUGGGAAUGCUGGGUGCUGUAGGCU